rnacentral:rRNA from 1 species
CUCUAGAGAUAGAGUGGAGGUUAUCCGGGAUACAGGUGGUGCAUGGUUGUCGUCAGCUCGUGUCGUGAGAUGUUGGGUUAAGUCCCGCAACGAGCGCAACCCUUGUCUUUAGUUACCAUCAUUCAGUUGGGGGACUCUAGAGAGACUGCCGGUGAUAAACCGGAGGAAGGUGGGGAUGACGUCAAAUCAUCAUGCCCCUUAUGGCCUGGGCUACAAACGUAAUACAAUGGCGUAUACAAAGGGAUGCGAAAGGGCGACCUGGAGCAAAACUCACAAAGUACGUCUCAGCUCAGAUUGGAGUCUGCAACUCGACUCCAUGAAGGCGGAAUCGCUAGUAAUCGCGGAUCAGCAUGCCGCGGUGAAUACGUUCUCGGGGUUU